rnacentral:tRNA from 1 species
GAUAAGGUGGCUGAAGUUUAGGCUGUAAAUUGUAAAUUUAUAAAUGGUAGAAGUACCUCUUAUCA